rnacentral:rRNA from 1 species
CUCAGAUUGAACGCUGGCGGAAUGCUUUACACAUGCAAGUCGAACGGCAGCACGGGGGCAACCCUGGUGGCGAGUGGCGAACGGGUGAGUAAUACAUCGGAACGUGCCCAGUCGUGGGGGAUAACUACGCGAAAGCGUAGCUAAUACCGCAUACGAUCUACGGAUGAAAGCGGGGGAUCGCAAGACCUCGCGCGAUUGGAGCGGCCGAUGGCAGAUUAGGUAGUUGGUGAGGUAAAGGCUCACCAAGCCUGCGAUCUGUAGCUGGUCUGAGAGGACGACCAGCCACACUGGGACUGAGACACGGCCCAGACUCCUACGGGAGGCAGCAGUGGGGAAUUUUGGACAAUGGGCGCAAGCCUGAUCCAGCCAUUCCGCGUGCAGGAUGAAGGCCCUCGGGUUGUAAACUGCUUUUGUACGGAACGAAACGCGCUGAGUUAAUACCUCGGCGUAAUGACGGUA